GAAAAGCACAAUGAUAAGAUAUCAAGCACUUGCUCUACGGUGUCCUAAAAAUGUCUAAAUGUAUCAUUGCUAAACGUUUAUCCAACAUGCCCAAAUUUGACGUCAUGGUUUUUAUUUUAACUUUUACCCAAAAUGUGCUCAAAAUUAGCAGUACAAGUUAAUUUACAGUGGCUAAGCGCCCAUUCUAUUAUUUCCAGAGGUUAACUCCAAACAUUUGAAAACACUUGGACACUUGAAAAUUGAAAUUGGUUCCCAGGAAUAUUAACUUCCUCCAAAAAUAAAUAAAAUAAAUAAUAAGGCAUCUGGAUAGUUGUGUGCCACACAAUUAAUAAUACAAAAUUCCUAUUGAACAUAGAAUCAAUAAAGGCCAUACAUGCAAA
rnacentral:misc_RNA from 1 species